rnacentral:lncRNA from 1 species
AUAUAUAGAGAGAGAGAGAGAGAGAGAGAGAGAGAGAGAGUUGGCUACUAUACUUUUAUGAGUAUAGAGCCCUUCGUACUCAUAAAUUAUUUUCGAUAUUAGAGUUUUCGAAUCAACGAUCCACACAGUUAAAUAUGAUCCAGAGUAUUUGAAACUUUUAGAAAAUAAAUUUUGUAAUUUUUCAAAAUCAUUAUAAAACCCAUCAAGCGGGUAUAAAAUGAACGGUUAAAAUCGAACGACAUCUUAAAAAUGGAUGAUCGGAUCCUUCAAUUUAAGAUCGGAGUUAUUGAUCUUUAUUUAGAUAGUGACUAGAAUUUUCUAUCAAAAAUUCAACUUAUUCCAAUUCUUUUUCACCGUUAAACUAGCAAAUAUCUCAUACCGGCUGUUAAAAAUUGUCAAUUUUGUGAGCUUUUGAUCGUAAGGUAAAUGGUAUCGAAAAAUUAUAAAAUUUGAUUUUUAGAGGUUUUAAAUGCUCUAGAUAAUGUUUAACGGUAUGGAUCGUCGAUUCGGAAGCUCUAUCAUCGAAAACAACUUAUGAGUAUAAAGGCGAUCAUACUCAUAAGAGUAUAGUAGCCGGACACUAUCUCUCUCUCUCUCUCUAUAUCUCUCUC